rnacentral:rRNA from 1 species
CGAACGAUGAUGCCCAGCUUGCUGGGUGGAUUAGUGGCGAACGGGUGAGUAACACGUGAGUAACCUGCCCCUGACUCUGGGAUAAGCGUUGGAAACGACGUCUAAUACUGGAUAUGAUCACUGGCCGCAUGGUCUGGUGGUGGAAAGAUUUUUUGGUUGGGGAUGGACUCGCGGCCUAUCAGCUUGUUGGUGAGGUAAUGGCUCACCAAGGCGACGACGGGUAGCCGGCCUGAGAGGGUGACCGGCCACACUGGGACUGAGACACGGCCCAGACUCCUACGGGAGGCAGCAGUGGGGAAUAUUGCACAAUGGGCGAAAGCCUGAUGCAGCAACGCCGCGUGAGGGAUGACGGCCUUCGGGUUGUAAACCUCUUUUAGUAGGGAAGAAGCGAAAGUGACGGUACCUGCAGAAAAAGCACCGGCUAACUACGUGCCAGCAGCCGCGGUAAUACGUAGGGUGCAAGCGUUGUCCGGAAUUAUUGGGCGUAAAGAGCUCGUAGGCGGUUUGUCGCGUCUGCUGUGAAAUCCCGAGGCUCAACCUCGGGCUUGCAGUGGGUACGGGCAGACUAGAGUGCGGUAGGGGAGAUUGGAAUUCCUGGUGUAGCGGUGGAAUGCGCAGAUAUCAGGAGGAACACCGAUGGCGAAGGCAGAUCUCUGGGCCGUAACUGACGCUGAGGAGCGAAAGCAUGGGGAGCGAACAGGAUUAGAUACCCUGGUAGUCCAUGCCGUAAACGUUGGGCGCUAGAUGUAGGGACCUUUCCACGGUUUCUGUGUCGUAGCUAACGCAUUAAGCGCCCCGCCUGGGGAGUACGGCCGCAAGGCUAAAACUCAAAGGAAUUGACGGGGGCCCGCACAAGCGGCGGAGCAUGCGGAUUAAUUCGAUGCAACGCGAAGAACCUUACCAAGGCUUGACAUACACCGGAAACGGCCAGAGAUGGUCGCCCCCUUGUGGUCGGUGUACAGGUGGUGCAUGGUUGUCGUCAGCUCGUGUCGUGAGAUGUUGGGUUAAGUCCCGCAACGAGCGCAACCCUCGUUCUAUGUUGCCAGCGGGUUAUGCCGGGGACUCAUAGGAGACUGCCGGGGUCAACUCGGAGGAAGGUGGGGAUGACGUCAAAUCAUCAUGCCCCUUAUGUCUUGGGCUUCACGCAUGCUACAAUGGCCGGUACAAAGGGCUGCGAUACCGUAAGGUGGAGCGAAUCCCAAAAAGCCGGUCUCAGUUCGGAUUGAGGUCUGCAACUCGACCUCAUGAAGUCGGAGUCGCUAGUAAUCGCAGAUCAGCAACGCUGCGGUGAAUACGUUCCCGGGCCUUGUACACACCGCCCGUCAAGUCAUGAAAGUCGGUAACACCCGAAGCCGGUGGCCUAACCCUUGUGGAAGGAGCCG